rnacentral:rRNA from 1 species
UGCAGUCGAGCGCGGGAAGCGAACGGAAUCCUUCGGGAGGAAGUUCGUGGAACGAGCGGCGGACGGGUGAGUAACACGUGGGCAACCUGCCUGUAAGACUGGGAUAACCCCGGGAAACCGGGGCUAAUACCGGAUAAUACAUGGUUUCGCAUGAAACCAUGUUGAAAGAUGGCUUUUACGCUAUCACUUACAGAUGGGCCCGCGGCGCAUUAGCUAGUUGGUAAGGUAACGGCUUACCAAGGCAACGAUGCGUAGCCGACCUGAGAGGGUGAUCGGCCACACUGGGACUGAGACACGGCCCAGACUCCUACGGGAGGCAGCAGUAGGGAAUCUUCCGCAAUGGACGAAAGUCUGACGGAGCAACGCCGCGUGAACGAAGAAGGUUUUCGGAUCGUAAAGUUCUGUUGUUAGGGAAGAACAAGUGCCGUUCGAAUAGGGCGGCACCUUGACGGUACCUAUCGAGGAAGCCCCGGCUAACUACGUGCCAGCAGCCGCGGUAAUACGUAGGGGGCAAGCGUUGUCCGGAAUUAUUGGGCGUAAAGCGCGCGUAGGCGGUUUCUUAAGUCUGAUGUGAAAUCUUGCGGCUCAACCGCAAGCGGUCAUUGGAAACUGGGGAACUUGAGUGCAGAAGAGGAGAGUGGAAUUCCACGUGUAGCGGUGAAAUGCGUAGAUAUGUGGAGGAACACCAGUGGCGAAGGCGACUCUCUGGUCUGUAA